UACGUAGGGGGCAAGCGUUGUCCGGAAUCAUUGGGCGUAAAGAGCGCGUAGGCGGCCCUGUAAGUCCGCUGUGAAAGUCAAGGGCUCAACCCUUGAAUGCCGGUGGAUACUGCAGGGCUAGAGUCCGGAAGAGGCGAGUGGAAUUCCUGGUGUAGCGGUGAAAUGCGCAGAUAUCAGGAGGAACACCGGUGGCGAAGGCGGGUCUCUGGGCCGAUACUGACGUGAGGAGCGAAAGCGUGGGGAGCGAACAGG
rnacentral:rRNA from 1 species